rnacentral:lncRNA from 1 species
ACGGAACAGAAAAGUCGAGCGUACGCCCGUUAGCUCCACUAACGGGUUUCCAUGAGCUGCUCCCGAGUGUAUGUAUAGAAGCUGCUGGUAUAUGCUUUCCGUGAAUAAAUAAAGUAUGGAUACAUAUUUUAAUAAAUGAAAUGGGUAUAUUUACAUACAUGUAUUUGCGAGUAUAUACACAUGAAAUUUGAUUAUAGAGUAUAUCACUACUACAGAAUUGGUUUGUAAGAGCCACGGCACUUCCACUCUAAGGUCGGCUGGUGAUGUAACCGCCCUUACAGUGGAUUUUCCAUCAGCACCUGGCUUCUUGAUCACGAGCCGCCCUUAUAAAUACCACAGUAAAGGCUGCUGGUAACACGAGCCGCCCUUACAAAUGGCUGCAUUUAUAAGGGUUGUUGUUGACCCAGCCGCCCUUAUUGUGGGAUUUGUAAGGGCGGCUCGUGAUCCAGCCACCCUUACAAACUUAAUUCUAAUUCAGCCGCCCUUACAAAUCACGGCGGUAUAUAUGCUACAGCCUUCUUCCUCCUUGGGUCACUCACUCCAACCCGAGGAGAUAAAGUUGGGAGGCCUUGGGCACCUUCUAAAAAUUGCUCUAGUGAUGGGGGGAGGUUUUGGUCUCAAAAACUAUGAUGGAAAGCUUGGAAAAGGUAAGAAAAUGCUAUUCCAACACUUUAAUUAAAGUUUCAGUGGUCGGUUAGUGAGUAAUUUGAGUUUUGCUUUUCUCUCUCUUCCAUGGUGCUUGAGCUUUGUAUGGAGCAAAUUAGACCCUUGUUCUUAAGCUAUUAGUUGGAAUUAGUUAGAGAUAUGAGCUUGCCCUCUUUAUUGGUUGAUCUUGCUUGAUUUUAGUGGUGAUAUAUUUCACUUUAUCAUGUAUGUGUAGAUCUAGUUCUAGAUCUAGGAUUUGCUUUUUAUUUUUUUUAUUUAUGGUUCAUGAAAUUAGAAUGGUUUGGAUAUGAAAAAUUGUUGGUAAAAUAAUAAUUGUUUCUAAUUGUUGACAAUGGAACUAUAUAUAAGUUUAUUUAUAUAAUUAUAUUUUAAUAAUUGUUGCUAAUUAUUGUUGAUUGGUAAAAUAAUACUUGUUUCUAAUUUCUUUUCUAAAUAUUUAGUUUCAUUAAUAGCCAACUAAUUAAUAUAUAAGUUAAUAUUUUCACCAUUUACAACUUUAUAAUCAAGAAUAGCCAACUAAAGAAUUAUCCUCUACCAUGAGUAUAAGUAUGUAUACACAAUUAAUCUCUAGUUUGUAUUUUUCUUCAUUAAUUUGUUUUUUUAUGUAUUUUGUAUUUUUGUUUUGUUGUUAAUUGUUGCUAAUUGGUAAAAUAAUACUUGUUUCUUAUUCAUUUUCUAAAUAUUUAGUUUUAUUAAUGUAACACCCGAUUUUAAAGACAAAAUUAGAUAUGCACCAUAUGUGAGUUAGAAGACAAACCUCACAUAUAGCUACAAAUAAGGGGUAAUAUCAAAGGACAACGCAUUAUAUAACGUACAUAAUAAAUCAGAAACAACCUUGGGCAGCAAACCACGGAAGAGAACUCUAAACUUCGGGUGUUAACCUCACUCUACAGGAUCCAACUGACUGGUUGAUCACAAGCCCAAUACUUCUCCUGAGGUGUGGAGGAGAUAGCAAGAGUGAGUCCACAACGAACUCCGCAAGUAUAACAACUAGAUAGUAUAGAUCCCACGGUCUCAUGAUCAAUGUGACAUAAAUAAUAUAGAGCAUUAAACAAUAAACAUGAGCAUAUUUACGCAACAAGAUUCAUCACCCUUAAUGUAAGAAUCCCCAAGGCCGCUCGUGUCCGUGAGCACGGCUAGUAUACCAGUUUAUUAAACACUCUGCAGAGGUCGUACAUCUUUACCCAUGAGUCAUGAUUUACCCUUUCGCCCGAGGUAGCUAACCUCUUAACCCCCUUCCAAGGGAGGCCGGCAGGGAUCACUAUGAAGUCUUUCAAAGGUUCGUCUAACAAGUUAGGGCCGCUUGGUUUCGGUAGUCAGUCCGUGUGAUUCUACCCCGCAGGGAAUCCACGGUCUGCUAUCCCCCAUUUGCGCCACACGGGUAACCUCUAACCAGCUAGAAAAAUUACUCAUACUUGACUAAAGCCAGAGCCAUCAUAGCCCUCAUGGUUGCACUUUCAUCCCGGUUAUCACUUACCUCAAGUUGCUAAAAAGUCAUUAUUAUCAUUUGUUGCGUUAUAUUAAUCUAGCCACA